rnacentral:snRNA from 1 species
AGGCCGAAGAGGGGAAAGGUUC